AAAUAGAACUAAGAAGCGAUUGAAAAAGAAUAGAAUUAACUCCUCUCUCUUGCCCAAAGCCUGGUUCUUUUGAGCCCAUUUUUCUUAGUCUUCUAUAAUGGAAAAUCGUGACACAGUGGCUACAAAACCAAAAUUGGUGCCUUUUCACCACUUUGAUCCAGAACUAUAAUUGAGCAGUAUUUGAAUAAAUAGCUUCAAAGCAGGGAAUCUCUAAAAACCUGAAGUAUUCCUCCCCCCCCCCAAAUCCU